GACGAACGCUGGCGGCGUGCCUAACACAUGCAAGUCGAACGGAGCUAUUGACUUCGGUUGAUAGCUUAGUGGCGAACGGGUGAGUAACGCGUGAGCAACCUGUCUUUCAGAGGGGGAUAACAACGAGAAAUCGUUGCUAAUACCGCAUAAGACCACACUGUCGCAUGGCAGAGGGGUAAAAGGAGCAAUCCGCUGAUUGAGGGGCUCGCGUCCCAUUAGAUAGUAGGUGAGGUAACGGCUCACCUAGUCUGCGAUGGGUAGCCGAGCUGAGAGGCUGAACGGCCACACUGGAACUGAGACACGGUCUAGACUCCUACGGGAGGCAGCAGUGGGGAAUAUUGGGCAAUGGGCGAAAGCCUGACCCAGCAACGCCGCGUGAGGGAAGAAGGUCUUCGGAUUGUAAACCUCUGUUCUUGGUGACGAAAAGAUGACGGUAGCCAAGGAGAAAGCCCCGGCUAACUACGUG
rnacentral:rRNA from 1 species